rnacentral:rRNA from 1 species
UACGUAGGGUGCGAGCGUUAAUCGGAAUUACUGGGCGUAAAGCGUGCGCAGGCGGUUUUGUAAGCCAGAUGUGAAAUCCCCGGGCUUAACCUGGGAAUGGCAUUUGGGACUGCAAGGCUCGAGUGCGGCAGAGGAGACUGGAAUUCCUGGUGUAGCAGUGAAAUGCGUAGAUAUCGAGAGGAACACCUGCGGCGAAGGCGGGUGCGUGGGCUGACACGUGACGCUGAUG